rnacentral:misc_RNA from 1 species
CAGGCUGUUUAGUUUGGUUUGACGAUCUAAUUGACAUGAGGGAAUUCACUGAAGGUGGACAAGACCUCUAUGUACGGAUGGCUGCUUCAGAGCUAGCUCCUACUGAGGAAAAAAAAACAUCAAAUGAGAAGAGAAAAGUUGCAAUUGUUGUCAGCUGUCUCACUGUGUUUGUGGGAUCGCUAGCAUUAGGAUUUCUCUUGUGCAUUAGAAAGCGAAAACUUUUGCAGCAAGGAAUUGCAAAACAGACUGAUCUAGAAGAUUGUGGUGAUGAUGGUGGAGAGGAAGACAUUGAAUUACCUUCCAUUGAUUUAACCACUAUAAAAAAUGCUACUGAUAACUUUUCAAACAACAAUAAACUAG